CAACGGGGCCUGUGGCCCACAGUCAUCAUCAGGGAGCAGGAGCACCGCAUCGACCUGCACAUGAUCCGGCCGCACAUGAAGGUGGUCACCCACAGAGGCUACCACAGCGAGGGCCUCAACGCCAUCAUCGUCUAUGCCGCCAGCUUCCUCCAGGACAGCAGCUGCCCAGACUACCACUAUGUCCUGGAGAACCUCUUCCUGAGAUUCUAAUAAAAAUGGAAGAAGAACCAAGUUCUGCUUUGGACUCUGAAGAGACUUUUAAUUCUUGAAGAAACCAAAGACAAAACAUGACCUUUUGUUGUAAUCUCCACAGUGGAGACACUUUUGAGAGGAGAAAGAAAUAUUUUUGAUUGAUGAAAAUGUCUUCUUGACAAAUGAUAGUAGAACUGGUCAGUAUCUCUUUUUAUAUAUUGUAUGAGUAUAAUUUCUCUGAACUAAUUGAUUACUUAAGGCUCUGAAAUUACUACCUUCCAUUAAAAAGGUUAGCUGAUUUUUGUGUCUGUAGCCUUACAUUAAAUUAUUUUUGCAUUUAUAGUCUUGAAUUAAGUAACCAAGCUGGUUUGACCCUACUGUUACAGUGUGAGCUCCUUUCCUUUGGAAACCACUUCAAGCCAUUUUGAUUAUCUUCCACCAGGCUGUAUGUGUUGUGUGUGUGUGUGGGAGGGUUGUUUAAGUUUGCUUAUUUACAUAGUCAGCCAUAAGCCCCAUCAUCCAAGGCAUGUCAGUGUUUAUCUUCGAGUAGAUAGGCAUUCGUUUGAAACAUAGGGUAAGCUGCUCUGAAUCAGUCCCUUCCCCUACACAGACUUCUUUUUGUUGUUGUUGUUGGCACUGUAUUCCAGGUUGAAAUGCCUCCGCGUCAGUGCCAUGGGUCACUGUUGGUAAUAUAUAUUAGUGUGUUGUGCUUUGUAGGUAUGGUGGUAAAAAUACGUAACAUAACCUACAUAUUUGGUCAAUAAUACUGAAGUUAUUUGAGGAAAUAUUGCAUAAACAUUCAAAAGUGGAAACCUUUUUAAAAAUUUACAACAACUUCUUAUUUGUUUACUUACUAACUUGCUUAGUAGUAAUAUAUUGAACUCUAAUUUUCAUUAUCAGAUAUUUGACUUCACAGCAGGCUGUUAUACUCAACAAUAUGGUUUAAGGGAGAAAUUUUCAAAGAAAUUUUAUUAGAAAUGGAGAUUUAAGAUUUAUCUAUUUUAUAGACACAUUGCCUUGAUUGUUGGGACACAGUGGCAGCAGUUAAUUUUUUUAAGAUUUAUUUUAUUUAUUUGAAAGACAGAGUUACAGAGAGAGGUAGAGCCAGAGUGGGGGGAUCUUCCAUCCUUUGGUUCACUUCCCCAGAUAACUGCAAUGGCCAGAGCUGAACUGAUCCGAAGCCAGGAGCCAGGAGCUUCUUCCAGGUCUCCCACAUGGGUGCAGUGGCCCAAGGACUUGGGCCAUCUUCCACUGCUUUCCCAGACCAUAACAGAGAGCUGCAUUGGAAAUGGAGCAGCUGGGACAGAAACUGGCGCCCAUAUGGGAUGCUGGCACUACAGGCUAGGGUUUUAACCUGCUGUGCCACAAUGCCGACUGCUGUAGCAGUUAGUUUUCUCAUUUUAUUGUUAAUCCAGGGCUUUCAAGUACUUUUCAGAGCUCUUUCUCUCCCUACUCAAGAGAAUACAUCUUCAGUCAUUUUGCGUAUCUUUCUUGUACUUCCUUUGUAGACAAGCCUAUGUGUUAAAACUAAUAGACUCAGGGGCCAGCGCUGUGGUCCAGUGGGUUAAUGCCCUGGCCUGAAGUGCCCGCAUCCCAUAUGGGUGCUGGUUUGAGACCCAGCUGCUCACAUCCUGUCCAGCUCUCUGCUAUGGCCUGGGAAAGCAGUAGAAGAUGGCCCAAGUCCUUGAGCCCCUGCACCCACACACCCACAUGGGAGACCAGGAAGAAGCUCCUGGCUCCUGGCUACAGAUUGGCACAGCUUCGGCCUUUGCGGCCAUCUGAGGAGUGAACCAUUGGAUGGAAGAUUCUCUCUCUCUCUCUCUCUCUCUCUGCCUCUUCUCUUUCUGUGUAACUCUGACUUUCAAAUAAAUAAAUCUUUUAAAAAAGAAAAACUAAUAGACCCAAAGGAAUCCAAACACAAGCUCCUCCUCUUGGAGAACUUGUGCUUUAGUUAGAGAGAGAAACUUGGAAAUAACUAACACAGCUGAUAACUGGGGUUACAGUGGAAGCUUUUAUCAAGGAUCUGGAAAAGACCAAAUGGGGUAAUUAAAAUUAAAUGGUACUUAGGAGGAAGAUCUGUUUGCUCAGCACUCUAGAGGGGCAGGAGUUUGCAGGGAGAUGAGUGAUAGGAACACAAUCUUCAGUUUCUGCUCCUUAGGAAUGUAUCCUUUUGGUUUCUUCUGCAGUUUGAGAGUGGGUUAGAUUUGGUUUUACUUUAGUCAAUGACAGAAUUGUGCCUUACUGAUAAAGAUAGCUAAUGUGACCCACAAUAUGGGUAGUCACAUAGCUGAGUAUCUAUUUCAUGUGGUGACAGUGUUACUUUGCAUGAACUGCUAUUUUGAUUAAAGUUUUAAAUUUAGUUAUAUUUGAAUCUUAUCAAAAUAUUUAACUGAGAGUUGAAAAUGAGAUCACACACUAUUUGAAAUAUUUGAUAAUGGGUAUUAUGUGCCUAGAAAUAUAAGGAACAUCAGUAAGAUAGCUAUGAUAUUAAAAAUAGCUUGUUACUGAGAAAAAUGUUGAAAGUAAAAUAUGCCCCAGUAUCAUCUGUGUAUAGGGAUACAAUUUACAUUCUAGGGUUAUAUGUACAGUAUUCAGAGAUAGAGAAGUGGUUUAGUCUGGUUGACAUAUUCUCAAACAGCUCCAAAAACUUUAUUCUAAUCAACCUGUUCAGAUUAGGAAACUAAUUCAGGUGCAUGCCCUUUAGAAGCAAAACAGGAUAGUUGCACACUCUGAACUCUCACCUCUUUUUAAAAUGUCCUUUUAGGUCUUAAAGUUAUCUUGAACAGCACAAUUCUGCUAUCAUAGAACUAGACUUAGACUUACUGUUCUCUGGAUUUUCUUUAGAGCACAGUAAUAAGUUCACACUCUCCAAGGUAGCUACUGUUUUGCUCCAUCCUUUCUCUGUGUUGCCACACCUAGAACCUACUUAUCUCCUUUGUACUUUGUAAGUCAGACUUUUUCCCCCAUAUGAGAGAUUUGAGUGAGGGUGGAAGGGCAUAAGAGAAAUGAAUAAAGCCAAAGUGAUUUGUUUAGUGAUUUUACUACUGCCCCCUUUCUCCUAUGCCAUCAGAGCUGCUGAUAGAUUCUAAAGAAGGAACAACCAUUUUCCUGCUUCUAUAUCACUAGAUGCCAUUUCUAAUCAUAGUAUUUUAUGUAUUCAACUCAGAUGCAGAGAUAGAAAGAAACAGAGGCAAACACAGAAAGAGAAUUCCCAUCUACUGGUUCACUCUCUAAAUGACUGUCAUGGCUGGAACCAAAGCCAGGAGCUAUUAACUGAAUUUAGGUCUCUUGCAUGUGUGUACGGACCAAGUCACUUUGUCAUCACCACCUAAUGGGACUACUAUAAAGGCUGUAUAGAAAAAUGAGAUUUUUGGGGGUGUUAAACCUCAGUUUUACAGUAAUAUUUCUGGAAACAUCUAUUUGGUUCAUAAAAAGAUAUCUGUAGGGCCGGCACUGCAGCUCACUUGGCUAAUCCUCCACCUGUGGCGCCAUUACCCCGGGUUUUAGUCCCUGCUGGGGAACCAGAUUCUGUCCCAGUUGCCCUUCUUCCAGGCCAGCUCUCUGCUUUGGCCUGGGAGUGCAGUGGAGGAUGGCCCAAGUGUUUGGGCCCUGCACCCACAUGGGAGACCAGGAGAAGCACCUGGCUCCUGGCUUUGAAUCAGCGUGGUGCACCGGCUGCAGUGUGCUGGCCGCAGCGGCCAUUGGAGGGUGAACCAAUGGCAAAAGGAAGACCUUUCUCUCUGUCUCUCUCUCUCUCUCACUGUCCACUCUGCCUGUCAAAAAAUAAAAUAAAAAAAGUAAAAAUAUCUGUGGUCAUAUAAUUAAAUUUUUAUGGCAUUUAUUGGGGGAAUAUUCAAAUUAUUAGGAAUAUAGAUAACACAAUAGCAAAUUUAAUAUACCAAAGGGAAAAUCAGGACCAGAUUUAGGUUCUGUUAAAGUAUUUGAACUUUAAAAUAGUUUAAAAUUUUUG